UUCAAAGUUUACGAAACGGCGUCGCAUUGUCUGAGGGUUCCUUUUGAUCUCACGAAUCUCGUUGCCGUUCUUCACUUCUAAGCUAUCUGUCGAUGAAACUCAGAAUUCAGAAACAUAUGAUUCUCAAUCGAACUUGAGAAACAAUAUUGUGGGUCUCUUCGUUGCCGUUCUUCACUUUGUUUUCUUCACACGAUCUUGACUCUACUCAUAUCACCUCUCCACGAUCUGGAACUCCGAUCAAAGCUCCAUGUAGAUGGAGUAGGGAUCGUUUGUCUGAAGACUAAGAGAGGAGGAUGGAGUUGGUUUAUGUCUUGUUUCUAAAUGGUUUGCAGUUGUUUUAAAAAAAUUCAGACACAAGCUUUAUGUGCUUUCAGAUUCUCAAUGGUUUGUUGUAUUUCACUUUCUAAGUUUCAGAUUUUAUGUACUUGCAGAUUUUAAAUCAGGUUUUUGAGCAUGUGAAAUAAUUAAAACUGGAUUUAAAAAUA